ACAGAGAUGAGGAAAGAAGCUUAGAGAGGAUCCAGGGACCGAUUGGCAGCAAGGUGGUAAAAAGGUGAAAAAGAAGAAUCAGUCAGAAAGGAGUUAGAGAUUUUGGACCCUGGGUGGGUGAUGGAGAGGACAGUGGAGUCAUCUACAGAAACUGGGAAAUCAAGAGACAGAGUUGGUAUAGAAAGGAGGAAGGUAAACCCUCUCCGGGAUCCUUUCCACUUCUAAGAUUUAGGAUCCUCAGUGAAGCUGCAGAUACACCAAAGGAUUCCUGACAACUUCAUGCCCAGUUUCUUAUGCCAGGAGGGUCUGGCAUCAUUCAUGGAACAUAGAAGUACGAGGCUGCAGUAUAAUAAAUUCUUCUUGGUUGACCUCGUAA